GUGUUGUCUCCACAGACAUCUUUAAUCUUCAGCAUCAGGCGUCCCUUCCAUUUUCUCUACGCAUACCUCCCACUCUGGAAUGAAUGAAAUCCCAGGUCCUUCGAGGGUGGUGCAAAUUCUGCCCCCUCUGGCCUCAGCUGGAUGGGGACACAGUGUCAAUCGGUUCUAGCUCCUGCUGAUUCUGCAGAGAAGGGAGGAUGAGCUUCCAGUCUCAGGGAGAGAACACUGGAAUCUUAGAGUUGACUGCAACUUGGAGACUACACACCUCCCCAUUCUUGACAUGCCAAGUUUAAGGAUUUCUCUUGUGAUGACCGUGAGAUACAGCAUAACACAUCUGCAGUAGGCAUAUGUUGUUUUCCCAUUGCUUCUCCCUUGGGUCUGAUUUGAAGAUAGGGGCACAAUUCUAACUGGGACACUCGGGACAGAAGGCCAUGACAGUGAUAAGCAGUGGAAUGCAAAACUGCAAGCUUACAGCUAUUUGCAAUCAAUAGCGCCUUCUGAAAACACUUGAAACAGUAGAGCCAUGUGGCUAGAAAGUGAUACAGAGGAAGACUAUUCACUCCAGAACUUCCAAUGCCAUGUUGAAUAAAAAUGGCAGAAGUGGGCACCCUUGUCUGUUCCUGACCUUAGAGGAAAUGCUUUCAACUUUUCACUGGUACAACCUACCCAGUAUCGGAGAUUUCCCACCCCCUACUCACCUGGGCAAAGAAAGAGCUUUGUGGACAGAGGCUUAAGUGCUCUUGAAGGGCUUGGUGACUCGGAGAUGCCAGGAAGUAGUUCCUGUUUUCUGAAUAUUGGAGCUGUUUGAAGGUGAAGUUUUUAUAGAGGAGCUGUCCUGGACCAGCUCCUGCAUUCUCACCUCUGUGGCUCUGGUUGCUGCUCUGUGUCGUAGGUUCGAUCCCUGGCCCAGGAAUUCCCACGUCCUGCCCGUGUGGGGAAAAAGAAAAAACAAACAAACCCCAAGAGAACCUAAAAUAAACAUUGC
rnacentral:lncRNA from 1 species